rnacentral:rRNA from 1 species
CGGAUAAGGCCUUCGGAACAAAGAUUUAUCGCCUAUAGAUGGGCCCGCGUUGGAUUAAAUAGUUGGUGGGGUAAUGGCCUACCAAGUCGACGAUCCAUAGCUGGUCUGAGAGGAUGAUCAGCCACUCUGGGACUGAGACACGGCCCAGACUCCUACCGGAGGCACCAGUGGGGAAUCUUGGACAAUGGGCGAUGGCCUGAUCCAGACAUGCCGCGUGAGUGAGGACCGCCUUAGGGUUGUGAAGCUCUUUCGCUAGGGAUGAUUAUGACAGUACCUACUAAAGAAACCCCGGCUAACUUCGUGCCAGCUACCGCGGUAAUACUCGGGGAGCUAGCGUUGUUCGGAAUUACUGGGCGUAAAGCGCGCGUAGGCAGAUUGUAAGUCAGGGCUGAAAUCCCGGGGCUCAAGCUCGGAACUGCCCCUGAUACUGGCGGUCUUGAGUACGCGAGAGGUGAGUGGAACAUCCGAGUGUAGAGGUGACAUUCGUAGAUGUUCGGAAGAACACCAGUGGCCGAAGGCGUCUCAGUGACACGCUACUGACUCUGAAGUGCUAAAGCGUGCGGAAGCAAACAUGAUGAGAUACCUCUGGUAGUCCACGCCCGUAGACGAUGA